rnacentral:rRNA from 1 species
GUUAUAUGGUCAAGUGAAGAAGCGCAUACGGUGGAUGCCUUGGCAGUCAGAGGCGAUGAAAGACGUGGUAGCCUGCGAAAAGCUUCGGGGAGUCGGCAAACAGACUUUGAUCCGGAGAUCUCUGAAUGGGGGAACCCACCUAGGAUAACCUAGGUAUCUUGUACUGAAUCCAUAGGUGCAAGAGGCGAACCAGGGGAACUGAAACAUCUAAGUACCCUGAGGAAAAGAAAUCAACCGAGAUUCCCUUAGUAGUGGCGAGCGAACGGGGAUUAGCCCUUAAGCUACAUUGAUUUUAGCGGAACGCUCUGGAAAGUGCGGCCAUAGUGGGUGAUAGCCCCGUACGCGAAAGGAUCUUUGAAGUGAAAUCGAGUAGGACGGAGCACGAGAAACUUUGUCUGAACAUGGGGGGACCAUCCUCCAAGGCUAAAUACUACUGACUGACCGAUAGUGAACCAGUACCGUGAGGGAAAGGCGAAAAGAACCCCGGAGAGGGGAGUGAAAUAGAACCUGAAACCGUAUGCGUACAAGCAGUGGGAGCCUACUUGUUAGGUGACUGCGUACCUUUUGUAUAAUGGGUCAGCGACUUAUAUUCAGUGGCAAGCUUAACCGUAUAGGGUAGGCGUAGCGAAAGCGAGUCUUAAUAGGGCGUUUAGUCGCUGGGUAUAGACCCGAAACCGGGCGAUCUAUCCAUGAGCAGGUUGAAGGUUAGGUAACACUGACUGGAGGACCGAACCCACUCCCGUUGAAAAGGUAGGGGAUGACUUGUGGAUCGGAGUGAAAGGCUAAUCAAGCUCGGAGAUAGCUGGUUCUCCUCGAAAGCUAUUUAGGUAGCGCCUCAUGUAUCACUCUGGGGGGUAGAGCACUGUUUCGGCUAGGGGGUCAUCCCGACUUACCAAACCGAUGCAAACUCCGAAUACCCAGAAGUGCCGAGCAUGGGAGACACACGGCGGGUGCUAACGUCCGUCGUGAAAAGGGAAACAACCCAGACCGCCAGCUAAGGUCCCAAAGUUGUGGUUAAGUGGUAAACGAUGUGGGAAGGCUUAGACAGCUAGGAGGUUGGCUUAGAAGCAGCCAUCCUUUAAAGAAAGCGUAAUAGCUCACUAGUCGAGUCGGCCUGCGCGGAAGAUGUAACGGGGCUCAAACCACACACCGAAGCUGCGGGUGUCACGUAAGUGACGCGGUAGAGGAGCGUUCUGUAAGCCUGUGAAGGUGAGUUGAGAAGCUUGCUGGAGGUAUCAGAAGUGCGAAUGCUGACAUGAGUAACGACAAUGGGUGUGAAAAACACCCACGCCGAAAGACCAAGGGUUCCUGCGCAACGUUAAUCGACGCAGGGUUAGUCGGUUCCUAAGGCGAGGCUGAAAAGCGUAGUCGAUGGGAAACAGGUUAAUAUUCCUGUACUUCUGGUUACUGCGAUGGAGGGACGGAGAAGGCUAGGCCAGCUUGGCGUUGGUUGUCCAAGUUUAAGGUGGUAGGCUGAAAUCUUAGGUAAAUCCGGGGUUUCAAGGCCGAGAGCUGAUGACGAGUCGUCUUUUAGAUGACGAAGUGGUUGAUGCCAUGCUUCCAAGAAAAGCUUCUAAGCUUCAGGUAACCAGGAACCGUACCCCAAACCGACACAGGUGGUCGGGUAGAGAAUACCAAGGCGCUUGAGAGAACUCGGGUGAAGGAACUAGGCAAAAUGGCACCGUAACUUCGGGAGAAGGUGCGCCGGCUAGGGUGAAGGAUUUACUCCGUAAGCUCUGGCUGGUCGAAGAUACCAGGCCGCUGCGACUGUUUAUUAAAAACACAGCACUCUGCAAACACGAAAGUGGACGUAUAGGGUGUGACGCCUGCCCGGUGCCGGAAGGUUAAUUGAUGGGGUUAGCGCAAGCGAAGCUCUUGAUCGAAGCCCCGGUAAACGGCGGCCGUAACUAUAACGGUCCUAAGGUAGCGAAAUUCCUUGUCGGGUAAGUUCCGACCUGCACGAAUGGCGUAACGAUGGCGGCGCUGUCUCCACCCGAGACUCAGUGAAAUUGAAAUCGCUGUGAAGAUGCAGUGUAUCCGCGGCUAGACGGAAAGACCCCGUGAACCUUUACUGUAGCUUUGCACUGGACUUUGAGCCUGCUUGUGUAGGAUAGGUGGGAGGCUUUGAAGCGUGGACGCCAGUUCGCGUGGAGCCAUCCUUGAAAUACCACCCUGGCAUGCUUGAGGUUCUAACUCUGGUCCGUGAUCCGGAUCGAGGACAGUGUAUGGUGGGCAGUUUGACUGGGGCGGUCUCCUCCUAAAGAGUAACGGAGGAGUACGAAGGUGCGCUCAGACCGGUCGGAAAUCGGUCGCAGAGUAUAAAGGCAAAAGCGCGCUUGACUGCGAGACAGACACGUCGAGCAGGUACGAAAGUAGGUCUUAGUGAUCCGGUGGUUCUGUAUGGAAGGGCCAUCGCUCAACGGAUAAAAGGUACUCCGGGGAUAACAGGCUGAUACCGCCCAAGAGUUCAUAUCGACGGCGGUGUUUGGCACCUCGAUGUCGGCUCAUCACAUCCUGGGGCUGAAGCCGGUCCCAAGGGUAUGGCUGUUCGCCAUUUAAAGUGGUACGCGAGCUGGGUUUAGAACGUCGUGAGACAGUUCGGUCCCUAUCUGCCGUGGACGUUUGAGAUUUGAGAGGGGCUGCUCCUAGUACGAGAGGACCGGAGUGGACGAACCUCUGGUGUUCCGGUUGUCACGCCAGUGGCAUUGCCGGGUAGCUAUGUUCGGAAAAGAUAACCGCUGAAAGCAUCUAAGCGGGAAACUUGCCUCAAGAUGAGAUCUCACUGGGAACUUGAUUCCCCUGAAGGGCCGUCGAAGACUACGACGUUGAUAGGCUGGGUGUGUAAGCGUUGUGAGGCGUUGAGCUAACCAGUACUAAUUGCCCGUGAGGCUUGACCAUAUAACACCCAAACA